AUGGGAGGAGAGUCCUUGAGGUGCAGGGAUGACCACUAUCUUCCCAGGCAACAGAAACAAUCUUUGUCCAACCAGCAAAAGAGGGAUUUGGAGAAAGAAAAUGAAGCAGCUUAUGGAACAGAAGUACAAAAGGUGAAUCCAUUUCACGAGGAGGAGCUCAGUCAAAUUUUAUAUGAGGGGAGACCAAGUUUGAUCUUGCCGAGAGAUCCUCGUUCUGUAAACCCCAAAGAGAUGGGCCCUUCAGGGAGAGGAAGGCUUGGCUGUCUUAAUCUCUGGGAGCCCUGUAGAAGAAUGAGAAGACAAACAGCUGACUUUUUUCAAAUUUUUAACAGCUACUUGUGGACCAAGGUGACACUUAGGAAUCCCAAGAAGCUCCAGCCAUAAAGGGAGUCGGUAUCCUUCCUCCAAUUGUAAACCCCAGCACUCCCACUGAACACACUGGCCAUGCCAAAAGUUCACACAUCGGCCACGCAAAGAGCUCAAAGAGAUCCAUUCAGUACCUGGGAAGGCACGAUCACUAUGGGGAGAAUCAGAAACCACGCGAUCGCCAGGUGGCCUUCAAAGAAGCCUCCUCCCAGAAGGUCCGGAAUCCCAUCUAGAGACAUUUCUGUCACUCUUCUCAAGCCACCUCAUCAUCUCUCUGCAGUUGAACUGCUGAUGUUUCUGAGAUUGUGGGUUUGUUCAAAAUGAAGCUUGGCAGAAUCAUAAUUUAUAGGCUAGUAUUUUAUAAGUAGAGACAAUUCAUGACUUAGAAUCUUAUGAAUAAAUUGCUCCUGUUUUAUUGCUCUGUGUGUGUGUGGGUGGGUGUGGGUGUGUGUGCAUAUAACUUCUUUUUCCACGUUUACCUCUUGAGUGGGCCCAUUAAACUGAGAAGUACUGCGUGAGGUCUUGAGAUAGCACAAGCCUUCGCCACCCCUGUAAAGGUGUGACGUGUGUCUAGGCAAAACCCUGGCAGGUCUCCAGGCGGUCCUUCUGAGUUAGGGCUCUGAACACUCUCUCUUAAAGCCCUGAGCUAUGAACACAGCUUUGAACGGACAGAGAAAGACCAAGUCAGAGGGGGAGCAGCUGUGUCUUUCUCCUCUCUGCUUCAUU
rnacentral:lncRNA from 1 species